rnacentral:pre_miRNA from 1 species
AGUAAAAUUUCUGGGUCAUAUGGUCACUCUAUGUUUAACUUUUUGAGGAACUGCCAAACUUUUUUCCAAAGUGCCUGCAUCAUUUUAUAUUCCUAUCAGUAGU